rnacentral:rRNA from 1 species
UACGUAGGGGCCAAGCGUUGUCCGGAUUUAUUGGGCGUAAAGAGCUCGUAGGCGGUUGGGUAAGUCGGGUGUGAAAACUCCAGGCUCAACUUGGAGAUGCCACCCGAUACUGCUCUGACUUGAGUUCGGUAGGGGAGUGGGGAAUUCCUGGUGUAGCGGUGAAAUGCGCAGAUAUCAGGAGGAACACCGGUGGCGAAGGCGCCACUCUGGGACGGUACUGACGCUGAGACGCGAAAGCGUGGGGAGCGAACAGG